GGUGUCAUCCCUAAAGAACAGAGUUUUCUUGUGAACUCAGUAACUGUGAUGUCUGCAAUCAGAUUAAUUAGCCACAUUUUCCUGAAAAAAGGCAUUUUACUGGGUACCUACAUUACAGUGUUCUGGACACAUACAUUCAUUCUCUUGUACUUACGAGAGAUGAAAACAAAUACCUUCUCUGACCUAUUGAAGUAAAAGUCUGUGUUUGGCUUUAAUGCCAGGAGCCAAAAUACUACAGAAGGUGGACUUCUGUAAUUGCGUAGCCAGAAUUAACUAUGCCUUAAAGUCAGCACUCUCUGGAUUACAGACUUGGGAUCUCAGGAUGAAAAUCACUGAGAGUUCAUUGUGUUUUUGUUGGCCUUCCCUGGACUGCAGUAAUGAACUGCACCAUGCACUGCAUGAGUGCUGAGAAUACUAACGAAAAAUGCUACAAGUGCCUCUUGGUGCUACUAUGUCAGCUUACAAAGAACCCUCUUGGGGCUAAUACUGCUUUUAGGGCAUGCUUAGUCCUCUUCAUGUGUCUGGAAUUCCACAUUACAGCUGAAUUUCCCAAAAGUAAUAAAUACUGCAUACAUAUGUAUAUUGGGCGCAUAUCCUUUGGUUUUUUUGUCAUAUCUGGUUUUACCCAGCUCUGAAACUUGCAUGCAUUUAAGGAUCAGUAAUUAACUAUUCAUCAUCUGAAUGUAUCUGAGAUCUCCUUUAAUUUCCUGUGCUUGUACUUUCAAGCCCUUUGUCAUCUUGUGCCUGAGCUACUCUAUACUACAUUGUUAUUCUAGUGUUGUAAAUAGUUUAUUCUGGAAUAAACUGUUAUUAUGCUACA